GACGAACGCUGGCGGCGUGCUUAACACAUGCAAGUCGAACGGUGAAGCGCCUUCCUUUUUGGUGGGUGUGGAUGAGUGGCGAACGGGUGAGUAACACGUUAGUAACCUGCCCCCUUCUUCUGGAUAACCGCAUGAAAGUGUGGCUAAUACGGGAUAUUCUGGGUCUGUCGCAUGAUGGGUCUGGGAAAGAUAUUGUUUCGGUGGGGGAUGGGCUCGCGGCCUAUCAGCUUGUUGGUGGGGUGAUGGCCUACCAAGGCGGUGACGGGUAGCCGGCCUGAGAGGGUGGACGGUCACACUGGGAAUGAGGCACGGCCCAGACUCCUACGGGAGGCAGCAGUGGGGAAUAGUGCACAAUGGGCGCAAGGCUGAUGCAGCGACGCCGCGGGAGGGAUGGAGGCCUUCGGGUUGUGAACCUCUUUCGCCAGUGAAGCAGGGCUGCCUCGUGUGUGGGUGGGUUGACGGUAGCUGGAUAAGAAGCGCCGGCUAACUACGUG
rnacentral:rRNA from 1 species